UCUCCGUAGGUGAACCUGCGGAGGGAUCAUUACAAGUGACCCCGGUCUUACCACCGGGAUGUUCAUAACCCUUUGUUGUCCGACUCUGUUGCCUCCGGGGCGACCCUGCCUUCGGGCGGGGGCUCCGGGUGGACACUUCAAACUCUUGCGUAACUUUGCAGUCUGAGUAAACUUAAUUAAUAAAUUAAAACUUUUAACAACGGAUCUCUUGGUUCU
rnacentral:misc_RNA from 1 species